rnacentral:rRNA from 1 species
CCAGACAGCCAGGAUGUUGGCUUAGAAGCAGCCAUCAUUUAAAGAAAGCGUAAUAGCUCACUGGUCGAGUCGGCCUGCGCGGAAGAUGUAACGGGGCUAAACCAUGCACCGAAGCUGCGGCAGCGACACUGAUGUGUUGUUGGGUAGGGGAGCGUUCUGUAAGCCUGUGAAGGUGUACUGUGAGGUAUGCUGGAGGUAUCAGAAGUGCGAAUGCUGACAUAAGUAACGAUAAAGCGGGUGAAAAGCCCGCUCGCCGGAAGACCAAGGGUUCCUGUCCAACGUUAAUCGGGGCAGGGUGAGUCGACCCCUAAGG